rnacentral:rRNA from 1 species
UUGGCGGCGUGCUUAACACAUGCAAGUCGAACGAAGCACUUUAUUUGAUUUCUUCGGAAUGAAGAUUUUGUGACUGAGUGGCGGACGGGUGAGUAACGCGUGGGUAACCUGCCUCAUACAGGGGGAUAACAGUUGGAAACGACUGCUAAUACCGCAUAAGCGCACAGGGUCGCAUGACCUGGUGCGAAAAACUCCGGUGGUAUGAGAUGGACCCGCGUCUGAUUAGCCAGUUGGUGGGGUAACGGCCUACCAAAGCGACGAUCAGUAGCCGACCUGAGAGGGUGACCGGCCACAUUGGGACUGAGACACGGCCCAAACUCCUACGGGAGGCAGCAGUGGGGAAUAUUGCACAAUGGGGGAAACCCUGAUGCAGCGACGCCGCGUGAGCGAAGAAGUAUUUCGGUAUGUAAAGCUCUAUCAGCAGGGAAGAAGAAAUGACGGUACCUGACUAAGAAGCACCGGCUAAAUACGUGCCAGCAGCCGCGGUAAUACGUAUGGUGCAAGCGUUAUCCGGAUUUACUGGGUGUAAAGGGAGCGCAGGCGGUACGGCAAGUCUGAUGUGAAAGCCCGGGGCUCAACCCCGGUACUGCAUUGGAAACUGUCGGACUAGAGUGUCGGAGGGGUAAGUGGAAUUCCUAGUGUAGCGGUGAAAUGCGUAGAUAUUAGGAGGAACACCAGUGGCGAAGGCGGCUUACUGGACGAUUACUGACGCUGAGGCUCGAAAGCGUGGGGAGCAAACAGGAUUAGAUACCCUGGUAGUCCACGCCGUAAAC